rnacentral:rRNA from 1 species
GAUGAACGCUGGCGGCGUGCCUAAUACAUGCAAGUCGAGCGAACAGACGAGGAGCUUGUUCCUUCGACGUUAGCGGCGGACGGGUGAGUAACACGUAGGUAACCUACCUAUAAGUCUGGGAUAACUUCGGGAAACCGGAGCUAAUACCGGAUAAUACUUCGAACCGCAUGGUUCGAUAGUGAAAGAUGGCUUUGCUGUCAUUUAUAGAUGGCCUUGCGCCGUAUUAGCUAGUUGGUAAGGUAACGGCUUACCAAGGCAACGAUCGGUAGCCGACCUGAGAGGGUGAUCGGCCACACUGGAACUGAGACACGGUCCAGACUCCUACGGGAGGCAGCAGUAGGGAAUCUUCCGCAAUGGGCGAAAGCCUGACGGAGCAAGGCCGCGUGAGUGAUGAAGGUCUUCGGAUCGUAAAACUCUGUUAUUAGGUAAGAACAAACGUGUAAGUAACUGUGGACGUCUUGACGGUACCUAAACAGAAAGCCACGGCUAACUACGUG